GCCUAGGGUAGAGGUAGCUGUAUUCAAUAGUAUUCAAUAGGAGCUGGUAAGCGUUGAUAAUUGAUGAAAGGGUAUAUAGCCGAAGAAAUUUUGUUGACGGACAAAUUUUCUGGACUUAUGCAGAAUAUGCAUAAGGCUGUCACUUUUAAAGUGGUGAGCUACAAGGUUA
rfam:Clostridium difficile 630 complete genome